AUUGAACGCUUGCGCCAGGCUUAACACAUGCAAGUCGAGCGGAGAGAGGUAGCUUGCUACUGAUCUUAGCGGCGGACGGGUGAGUAAUGCUUAGGAAUCUGCCUAUUAGUGGGGGACAACAUUUCGAAAGGAAUGCUAAUACCGCAUACGUCCUACGGGAGAAAGCAGGGGAUCUUAGGACCUUGCGCUAAUAGAUGAGCCUAAGUCGGAUUAGCUAGUUGGAGGGGUAAAGGCCUACCAAGGCGACGAUCUGUAGCGGGUCUGCGAGGAGGAUCCGCCACACUGGGACUGAGACACGGCCCAGACGCCUACGUGAGGCAGCUGUGGGGAAUAUUGGACCAUGGGCGGAAGCCUGAUCCAGCCAUGCAGCGUGUGUGAAGAAGACCUUAUGGUUGUAAAGCACUUUAAGCGAGGAGGAGGCUACUUUAGUUAAUACCUAGAGAUAGUGGACGUUACUCGCAGAAUAAGCACCGGGUAACUCUGUGCCAGCCGCCGCAGUAA
rnacentral:rRNA from 1 species